rnacentral:lncRNA from 1 species
AUGUGGCUGCUCUUAGGUUUGGGAUUUUUUUAUUCCUCUGUUUUCCUGUCAGCAAGAUACAGGAAAACAGAAGUAACUCAGAGCCAGGUGGAAAAGCAGCUGAAAAUAAACAAUAACAAAGGUAUUGGGAAUGAAUGCUUUCUCAUGUCACACGCAGGAGCUGCCUGUUUGAUGUGUGUGUGCAAGGAGAUGAUGACACUACCUUAUGUCGCAGUCUGGAGGAAUAUGUGCUGGCUUGUCAGCAGCAAGGAGUCCGUAUGGAAGGCUGGAGGCAACACACAGUUUGUGCUAUAUCAUGUCCUGCCAACAGCAACUACAGCUCGUGCACGUCUGCAUGCCCAGCAUCCUGCUACGACUUCACCAGCCCCUUGGAAUGUGAAUCACCUUGUGUUGAAGGCUGUGAAUGUCUCCCUGGCUUUGUUCUUAGCGGUUCUGACUGCGUGCCUUACAAACAAUGUGGCUGCACGUACCUUAACAAGUAUUAUGAGGUACAGUCUCCCUGUGGGUCAGACAGCUCCCGCAGCACCAAACAAUAUUUUCUUCUGCUAAUUAUUUUUACAAUCUCCUCAUUCUCCUCGGCACAUAAUUUUGCUUUAGAAACAAAGAACAAUUGUUUAAUACAAUUCUGGUCUGUGCAGGAAAGAGAAGAGAGAGUAGAUCACUUGGUCUGCCUCUGAAAGUCUGCCUGCCAGAAUACUCAAGGCAGGCACUUGGAGAAAGUAUAUGAUUACGCUCUGACCUCCAUGUUAAUUCUUCACCUUUAUUAUGAUAAAUAAUAGCCUCAUAUGCUCUAAAGCUUAUAACACACCAGUUACGGGGAAAUUCUGACAGUCACUGUGGUCCCUCUCCUCUCAGUGAAGAGUGGUGUAGGCAGAGUGAGAACUGGCUAUAACAUGAAUAGAACCUCAGGCAAGGCUGGACUCUGAGGAACAUGGAGAAUCCUCCAUUGGCAUUGCAGGAUACAAGAGCUUCAUAAUCUCAUAGAUUUCUGUUGUAACACUGGAGAUUUUCUACAGAAAAGGCCUAAGCUGGUAAAGAUUGUUUUAUGGGAGGAGGCAAACACUUGCUAUAAACAGCUGGCACUUGCCAGAAAAAAGACACAUGGCCUUUCCACAUUGCCUUGAAGGCAUCAUGUGUUGCACCAGCCACUCUCUCUUAUCUCCAGCAACAGCUAAGGGCUUGUUGGUUGCACAUGUAGUCCACCUGAGGCUAGGAUCUCAUAUCCCAUACACUUCUUUUACCUUCUUUCUUGGGCCAUCCUUGAGUUUCAAGGAUCUGGAUUAGUAAACUGCUUGCUUUCUUUUUUGUACAAACUACCAAAAAAAAAAAAAAUAAUCUGCCCUGUUGCCAUUUACAGGAGAGCAUCAGAGAGAAUAGCAUGGGGCCCCAGGGCUCUGCUCAAAGAUUUUCUGGCUGAUUUUAGUUGAUAUUUUUUAACAUUUAACUGCUGUCUUCCAGAUUGGAGAAACAUUCACCACUGAUGACUGCUCUCAGAAAUGCCAGUGCACAGAAAGCUCCACUGUCUUCUGCUCUGACAUAGUGUGUGGGUCCGAUGAAAUCUGUGGCAUUUCAAACUACAGUCGUGGAUGCUACAGGAGUGAGUCAACUGCUAUCACAUUGUCUUUGAUGCUAAGAAGUCUUGACUUACUGCUUUAGGACAUCACUGGGUUGGGGAUAAUUGCAGCAGAGUGUGUACAGAAGAAAAGCAUACCAGGGAUCUUACUCUGAUAUUUAAUCGUAGAACCAGUGUUUCCCUUAUUCCUCUUGCCAAGUACAAGUAACACACCUUAAAAUACGGGGAAUAUUCAGCAUUAGGAGUCAGUAUAAUCUAAGCAAGAACAAUUCUCUCAGGAUUGGAUUAUCAGAAAGCCUGAAGUGUUUCUUCUUUUUUUGCUAGGUGGACCAUGUAUGCCAAAUCCUUGUAAGAAUGAUGGAGUUUGCUCUGAAACUACCAACAGCAACUCUCCCCACUCCUGUCAGUGUUCAGAAUUGUACACAGGACCAUUCUGCACAGAUGAAAGGCUAGGUAAGAAAACUAUUUUGGAUUUCACUGUCUGCAUUACACACCACUUUCAAAAAUAGGUGUCAUUAUGGAGAAGAUUGAGCUUGCUCUUCAUUUCCAUGCUGUAAAUUAGUAGUAACUCAGUGGGUAAGAGCCUGUAUAGAUCCAAGCCAAAAGAAGAGGUCAGAUCCCUCAGUGGAGAGGUUCUAGAAAGCAGGACAGCAGGGCUCUGUAGAGCAUACAGGACCUGGGUCUGAUACCACUCCAGAAAGUCACAUUGAUAAGAGAACACAGUAUAAAUUAAGCAGAGGGGCAAUGGUUGAGAAAAAAAAACGUCUUCACAGUAUGGUUACCUUUCACUGACUGGGCUCUUUCGUCUUCUUUUGAAGAAGUGGGGCGUGAGGACUCUCCAGUUGCCAUCAUUGUUGGAGUUGUGGCAGGCGUAGCUAUUAUGGUCGUUCUCGUCUCCUCUGCAGUGUACAUCUACAGGUAAGGCUUUUCCCAGUUUUGCUACGUUCAGCAGAGUCAAGACACAUACACCCCUUCUAGCACCUGUAAACCUCAAAACUCCCGUUGCUCACACACCUACAGGGCCAGAAGGGAACCACAGCAUUCAGGAUCUUGCUUGAAGAAUGUGAGGGAAAACUUAGUUUUUUCUCAGAAGUGAACUCAUGCCAUUUCCUGUACACAGGGCAUACGCGUCUCUACCACAAAACUUGGGCUUCUCCAAAAUCUGACUUCAUUCAUGCUUGCGCCAUUGUUUGACCUCUCACUGCAGAUAACACCACAAAUUUUAAAUGGUUGUUCUUUCUUUUUCCCCGUUGUACAGAAGGAACAGGAAAAUGGGUACAGCUGAGGUAUCAAGGGAAUCUUCUUUGAGAUGGUCGCGGGAUGACAGAGCACAUGAGCAAGAUUAUGGCUGCAUCGUGAACACUGCAUUUGAUCAAAAUGAAUCCUCAAGAACACACCUAUAGUUAGCAUUAUUUUCCAAUUGUUUGUAUUACUUUCUGCUCUUUUAUUUUAAUAGUAUUUCCAGUAUGUUGAGAAGAAAUAAUUAAUAAAUCAUUGCAUUUGCUGAAAACCUUUUAAAUU